AUCGCUUCUCGGCCUUUUGGCUAAGAUCAAGUGUAGUAUCUGUUCUUAUCAGUUUAAUGUCUGAUACGUCUCCUAUCCGGGGACUACACUGUAAAAAAUUUCCCUGUAAAAUAACAGUAAAGAGCUGGCAGCAGAGACGCCAGCAGUAUACUGUUAUUUUUACGGUAUUUAUACGUAAAAUGACUU